rnacentral:rRNA from 1 species
GAUGAACGCUGGCGGCGUGCCUAAUACAUGCAAGUCGAGCGAACGGACGAGAAUUGUGCUUUUCUGAUGUUAGCAACGGACGGGUGAGUAACACGUGGAUAACCUAGCUCUAAGACUUAGGUAACUUCGGGAAACUGGAGCUAAUACCGGGUAAUAUUUUGAACCGCAUGGUUCAAAAGUGUAAGACGGUCUUGCUGUCACUUAUAGAUGGAUCGGCGCUGCAUUAGCUAGUUGGUAAGGUAACGGCUUACCAAGGCAACGAUGGAUAGCCGACGUGAGAGGGGGAUGCGGCACUCUGGGACUGAGCGGCGAUACAGAGUCCUACGGACGGCCGAGGUACGGACUGUUCCGAGAUGGGCGGAAGCUUGACGGAGCAACGCCGCGUGGGUGAUGAAGGGCUUCGGGUCGUAAAACGCUGUUAUGAGGGUAGACCACAUGCGUAAGUAACGAUGCACAUCUUGACGGUACCUAAAUAGAAAGCCCCGGCUAACUACGUG